rnacentral:RNase_P_RNA from 1 species
UCUGCUCUUUGUGUGACCGCCCAGCACCCUUUUUUCCAUUUCAGACAUAUGUGUAGUAAGGAUACAUUCUACGCAUGCAGUGGCAAAAAGGGUGCUGGGAGGAACGUCCGGGCAUCGCCGGAACGCCUAGCGGAUAACGUCCGCCGCCGCAGCACAUAUUCGGUAAAGCUGCGUUAGGACCAGUGCCACAGAGACGAGCUCCGUAUUCACUAUCCCCCGUCUUCGGGGGGCCAGAACAUGGAGAUGAAACGCCUCGGGAACCGAGGUUCUCUGCCCACAAGGUGGAGAAUGGCAAACUCUAGGUGAUGCAAGGAGGAAUUGGGUGGUCGGAAAUGCGUGAUGGUUCCGUCACGCCGGCUACUCCUCCGCAAUUCACGCGCAGCAAUGCGCGCGAUGAGGCGCACGGGCAACCUGCGCCCCAGAGAGAUGGUCACAGAAUCCUGUGCUGUUGCAAAAUGGCACAGGAGGAACAGAACCCGGCGUACAGAAGAGCAGACGAA